AAAUGCAUGAACACAUCAGUUUCUGAUAAUGUAGAGAUGUGAGAUAUCAGCUUGUGGAAUGACCAAUGUAUUUAGACACUUGGGUCGUGAGCUCAGUAAGGUCAGCCCCUCCUUCAGUGGGAUGAUUAAUGUCGAGGAGGAAUAGAGCCGGAACCCAAAGAACAGCAAUGCACAGGGUAAGCUCACUUCCUAAAAAGGGAAAGAAAUUCAUCCUCAUGAACAGCAAUGCACAGGGUAAGCUCACUUCCUAAAAAGGGAAAGAAAUUCAUCCUCAUGAA
rnacentral:lncRNA from 1 species